rnacentral:lncRNA from 10 species
UCUGGCCCCACCUUGGACAUACCGGUUCUCUCCAUCUUCAAUGACAUCAGCCAGGACUGGGCAUUUUGUCAGCUGGGUGUGAUAUGAACGGGAGGUGACCCUGCUGAAGCAAUGGAUCCAGGACCUGCACACAAGAGUGGUGCUGAGGAUUGGCAGUGCCCACUUCUAUGCCAUUGUGGUCAGUGUGGCCAGGAGCAGGCAGGGCGGGUGGGUGGGCACAGCUCCUGAUCAGCAUGGGACCCUCAGAUUCCACCCACAGCCUGUUUCCUGGGUUGGGACGGUGGGAGGCCUUACCCUGCCCUGGGGGCUGUGCCCUGUGUAGGGGGAUAGGUGGCCUGAUCUACCCCCACUGGGAUGUCGUUCUUCCCAUCUGGCUGGCAGGCCCCUGAGCCCCAUGCUGCGGGUUAUGUGAGGGAGUGCCCGAUAGCAGAGCCCCUCCUCAUGCCCCGACCUGCCACCCCCUCCCCAUAUCUCCUAUGUCUGCAGUGGGUGAAUGGUGUCCACAUGCUAGAGCAUGAAAGGGGCUACCUCCCCUUCGAGGCUGACAGCAGCAGCCUGUUCCAGGUGGGGCCCCUGCCCACCCGCCUCUAUGUCACUCUUGCCAUCAACAGCCCACUCACUCCCCCACCGUGCCACCAGGGACCAUCCGUAUGUGACCGACACGUCCAAGUGUGUACCAUCGUGCCUCCACUGCACGCACCCACCUUCCCGCCCCACCCUGUGGUCUUCCUGCCAGGGACAGGGUGGCCUUCGCAGAGAGGAGGCCCUGAUCUGGGAGGCAUGUGAACUGAGGGCAAAAGACCCAUGGCGAGGGCCCAGCGAACCACAGUCCUCCCGUCCUAGGUAUCCCAAGGGUUACUUUGUCCAGAACACAGACUUUGAUUUCUUCAAGUACGCGGGACUGCAGCGGUCUGUGCUUCUGUACACGACACCAACUACCUGCAUCGAUGACAUCACCAUCACCACCGGCGUGGAGCGAGACAGUGGUGACGGCUUCUGCAAUUUUACUGCCUUGAUCUGGGACAGAUUAUCAGAGGUGGGCACCCUUAUCCUCUCUUUCAUGCAGGAUUUAUCACAUGUUCCUGCUCCAGCACAGCUCCUGGACUGGCCCCAGGUGCUGGCCCCGGAGGUUUCAAUCCAAGCAUAAUUCACCGAGGCAUGUGCUUGACAGCGGGACCCAGCUCACCGUUUUAG